rnacentral:rRNA from 1 species
CGGGACCCGCACAAGCGGUGGAUGAUGUGGUUUAAUUCGAUGCAACGCGAAAACCUUACCCACCUUUUGACAUGUACGGAAGUUGCCAGAGAUGGCUUCGUGCUCGAAAGAGAGCCGUAACACAGGUGUUGCAUGGCUGUCGUCAGCUCGUGUCGUGAGAUGUUCGGUUAAGUCCGCUAACGAGCGCAACCCUCGUCGUAUGUUAUAUGUGUCAUACGAGACUGCCGGUAAAAAGCCGGAGGAAGGUGAGGAUGAUGUCAAGUCAGCAUGACCUUUAUAUCCAGGGCUACACACACGCUACAAUGGUCUGUACAAUGGGUAGCCAAGCCGCGAGGCGGAGCCAAUCCUGAAAGCAGGCCUCAGUUCAGAUUGCAGUCUGCAACUCGACUGCAUGAAGCCGGAGUUGCUAGUAACCGCAGGUCAGCAAUACUGCGGUGAAUACGUUCCCGGGGCUU